GUUGAGAACAUCGAACAAAUAAAACAACCCAUAUGAACUCUCUUUGUGUUACGCUUCAUCAUCUUACUUUAUGACCAGUAAAGUCACUGAUCAUUACUGCCAGUUCACGUGUAUGAAGACUCUUUAAAUAAAACCAAAAAUUUUAAACAAUAAUAGAAAUAGACACAAAAUCAGAACACCAGACAAAUAAAAUAACCCAUAAUUGUAACAUUAAGUUUAUAGAACAAACUAAAUUCAAAAGUUUUCAAAGUUAAAUUUUUCUACUCAAAUAAGCCAGUAAUUCACGGGAGAAAUUUCAGGCAGAUAGAUGUGGAAAGAUUUAUCAAUUUUCCAUUUGCAUACCUUGAAGACCCGCU
rnacentral:misc_RNA from 1 species